rnacentral:lncRNA from 1 species
UUGUGAACCCGAUGUUGUGUUGCCUUAUUUGGUGUCCAUUACUGAUUUAUGUAUUUAUGUUUGAUUGGAUAAUUGAGAUUAAGAAAAAAUGAAAAAGGUAUGUGAAUUGAUAAAUGGAUAAUGUCGACAGCCUGACUAGAUAUCCUUGGAGAUGGUGAACGGACCGGGUCCAUAGGGAACCCUACCAGGAACGUGGUCUCUCAUAUCGGACCGGGUAUGGAGACUUUAUGUGUUUUGGCGCCCAUACCGGACGGGGUAUGGGGACGACCCGUUUCACCCUCAUACUGGACGGGGUAUUGAGGUUUAUGGUUUUGGUGCCCAUACCGGACGGGGUAUGGGGACAGUCCUGGAAUUAAGUUAUUAAUGUGAAUGGUUCAUGUGUAGCGGGGACCCCCUAUGGAUCCCCAUCGAUAUUAGUAAGCUGAUAAAAGAGAAAAUUUGUUGCCUGAUGAUUGUAAUACAAAAGCAUGAUAUGUGUUAUGUUUACAGAGUGUGCAUGAUCUUAUGAUGUUUAUGAUGUUAUUGUUUCUUAUAAGUUGUUUUCAUGAAUCUCAUCGAGGUAAGUGGUCA